GCAACCUGGAAACUGCGUACUGACGUCUCCCUAUGUUGCCAUGGUAACCCAAUAUCGCUUCGGGCACCAUAGCAUCUGGGAUAAACAUAAACAAAGUGUGAGCCAGAACCAUUCCACCACCAGUGAUAUGUGCAAUCACAAAGAUGAAUCCUAUAGUGACAUGUAAACUACUUCAUAUUGCAUAUUGUUGUGUUUAAUAAAGUGACUUAU